rnacentral:rRNA from 1 species
AACGAACGCUGGCGGCAGGCCUAACACAUGCAAGUCGAGCGAGGACUUCGGUCCUAGCGGCGGACGGGUGAGUAACGCGUGGAAACGUGCCCUUUGCUUCGGAAUAGCCCUGGGAAACUGGGAGUAAUACCGGAUGAGCCCUUUGGGGGAAAGAUUUAUCGGCGAAGGAUCGGCCCGCGUUGGAUUAGGUAGUUGGUGGGGUAAUGGCCUACCAAGCCGACGAUCCAUAGCUGGUUUGAGAGGAUGAUCAGCCACACUGGGACUGAGACACGGCCCAGACUCCUACGGGAGGCAGCAGUGGGGAAUCUUAGACAAUGGGGGAAACCCUGAUCUAGCCAUGCCGCGUGAGCGAUGAAGGCCUUAGGGUUGUAAAGCUCUUUCAGCUGGGAAGAUAAUGACGGUACCAGCAGAAGAAGCCCCGGCUAACUCCGUG